rnacentral:rRNA from 1 species
AUUGAACGCUGGCGGCAUGCCUUACACAUGCAAGUCGAACGGUAACAGGUCUUCGGAUGCUGACGAGUGGCGAACGGGUGAGCAAUACAUCGGAACGUGCCCAGUCGUGGGGGAUAACUACGCGAAAGCGUAGCUAAUACCGCAUACGAUCUAUGGAUGAAAGCGGGGGAUCGCAAGACCUCGCGCGAUUGGAGCGGCCGAUGGCAGAUUAGGUAGUUGGUGGGGUAAAGGCUCACCAAGCCGACGAUCUGUAGCUGGUCUGAGGGGACGACCAGCCACACUGGGACUGGGACACGGCCCAGACUCCUACGGGAGGCAGCAGUGGGGAACUUUGGACAAUGGGCGCAAGCCUGAUCCAGCCAUGCCGCGUGCAGGAUGAAGGCCUUCGGGUUGUAAACUGCUUUUGUACGGAACGAAAAGUCUCUUUCUAAUAAAGAGGGAUCAUGACGGUACCGUAAGAAUAAGCACCGGCUAACUACGUGCCAGCCGCCGCCGUAACAC